GCCAGUGUGGUGUGCUGGUUUGAGCAUUGGACUAUUACUCCAUAGGCCAGGGUUCAAAUCCUGGCUCGGCCA